rnacentral:rRNA from 1 species
AGCGGAGGAAAAGAAACCAACAGGGAUUGCCUUAGUAACGGCGAGUGAAGCGGCAACAGCUCAAAUUUGAAAUCUGGACACUUUUGUCCGAGUUGUAAUUUGUAGAGGAUGCUUUUGGCAAAGCCUAGAUCCGAGUCUUCUGGAAGGAAGCGCCGAUGAGGGUGAGAGCCCCGUACAGUCGACGACCUAGCCAUGUGAACCUCCUUCGACGAGUCGAGUUGUUUGGGAAUGCAGCUCAAAACGGGUGGUAAAUUCCAUCUAAAGCUAAAUAUUGGCCAGAGACCGAUAGCGCACAAGUAGAGUGAUCGAAAGAUGAAAAGCACUUUGGAAAGAGAGUGAAACAGUACGUGAAAUUGUUGAAAGGGAAGCGCUUGUGACCAGACUCUAGCUUGUUCAGUUCAGGAGUCCUUUGGGCUUUGUACUUCUGUUCAGUCAGGCCAGCAUCAGUUUGGACGGCCGGACAAAAGCUUGGGGAACGUGGCUCCUCGGAGUGUUAUAGCCUCUUGCAGAAUACAGCCAGACUGGACUGAGGAACGCCUUUUGUAGGAUGCUGGCGUAAUGGUUGCUAGCGGCCCGUCUUGAAACACGGACCAAGGAGUCUAUCAUCCAUGCGAGUGUUUGGGUGUCAAACCCGCACGCGAAAUGAAAGUGAACGUUGGUGAGAGCUUCGGCGCAUCAUCGACCGAUCCUGAAGUAUUCGGAAGGAUUUGAGUAUGAGCAUGGCUGUUCUGACCCGAAAGAUGGUGAACUAUGCGUGAAUAGGGUGAAGCCAGAGGAAACUCUGGUGGAGGCUCGCAGCGGUUCUGACGUGCAAAUCGAUCGUCAAAUCCGCGUAUAGGGGCGAAAGACUUAUCGAACC